rnacentral:other from 1 species
UUAAAACUGAUUGACCCGUGUAUGGUUGUAAAAUAACCCUACAAUCGUUUAAUCGGGGGCCGGACUCCUUGUGCCGUGUGCAGACCUCCGGCGUUUUGCCGAGGAAGGGAGCCUAAAGCUUAAGGGAGGCACCCACCUGUCAUUUUUGUGGGCAGGUUAUGAUUAACAGCCUUACGGUCAAUCGGUUUUUGU